rnacentral:sRNA from 1 species
CGGGGAUGAUCUGGCUGUCACCUCUGCCACCCCAUUGAGCGUCAUUGUCAACUCAGCUGAUCUGGCUGGCUAGGCAGGAUGCCACCUUUACUUCUCA